UUUAAAUGAAACAAACAUAUAUUUGACUUUUUCUUUUCAUUUAAUUGUUUAGCUAAAUUCACUAAACAAAUUGUGUAAAUCAAACUACAACAUUAUGACUGAAUUCACAAUUUUUUUACAUGUACAUAUACAUACAUAAAUAUAACCAUGUUACACAAGGCACUUGCACAAGGAAAGGGAAAAAAAUUACAAAAAUCCAUUAAUACACAAGUUGUGUCCACAAGCAAAGGAGCAUUCCCAUAUUAGCAUCAUCAUCUUGCUGUAAGUGACCAAUGAAAGAUGGCAUACUUAAAAUCCAAACUUCAAUGGCCCUAGUAUCUCCCAUGCUUCUUCGGUAAUGGCUCUGCUUGUUCUUCAUUCUAAAAACACACCGUAAAAGAUUCCAUGUCAAUUAGAGAACAAAUAAAAUUUUGUUGAAAAAGGGUUAACUAGCCUUCCAUUCUAUUUAAAAGGAGGUAAAUAGGACCAUCUAUUAUUGCCAACAAAAUCAAAAUGAAGAUGCAAAACUAGUUCAUAUUUGAACCAUCUUCUUUGGCAUCAGCUGAAUUACAUUACAUCUAUAUUAAUAAAAUCAAAAUGAAGAUGCAAAACCAGUUCAAAUUUGAACCAUCUUCUUUGGCAUCAGCUGAAUUACAGUACAUCUAUAUUAAUAAAACCUGCAACAAAAUUACAACAAAACCCUAUGUUUCAUAAUACAAAUUCUCCAACCUAUGAACCUGUAAACCAAGAUUACAAUUGAACAAAGUCGAUAUAACUUUUCACAACCUAAUCAGCCAUCUUGUACACAUCACUUCUGUGAAAGAUUAUACUUCAACUGAACAGAUAAAGGUUCAAUUACUUUGCAUCAUAUAAACCAAUCUUACAAGCCGAUUAGUGCAUGAGAAAACACACAUGAAAAUUUUAUACAAUCACAAUUGGUUAGAAAAUAUCAUAGGUUUAUUUGCUCACAUAUCGUAAUCGUCCCCAUUUGAAAUAGAAGCAAUACUGUGAAAAGGAACUUCUUAAUGCCCAUUGCUAGAGCUAAAGGAAGACCUACUUGCUCUCAUACUUUGGGUCAUGGAUACCAGUGUGUCAAUGUGCAUUUGAUAAGAAUCUGCAAGACUAAAACCAAGGAUUCUCUGCUCGUUCCUUUCUGCUCCUCAAUUAUAUGAGAACUACAGGAAAUGUUGAUUUCUGGGUAGGGAUUACACCACUCAGGCCUAACCAUAAUAUUUACCCAAAUCAACUACAGUAAAACGAGAACAACGAGAAAAAGAAUUAAAAGAUUAAAUCAAAAACGAGAACGGAGAUCAACUCAAAAGAAGUGCAUAUCAAUAGGGGUGAUAAUAGGGGCAAUCUGUAAAUUCCUACUGCACUAGUUGUACUGCUUAAACAGGACAAAUAAUUCUUGGAUCGAUCACGCAAAUUUGCUAAGAGAUUGAAAAAAAGAAAGAAAGAUGGAUAACAAAAUCAGAAUCAUCGAAGAGAUAAAAAUGGGUAGACUAGAGAGAAUAUAAAGGAGGGUACCUGGCAAUGGCAUUGAUUUGCAACCCAAGGGGAAGGGGAAGAGGAAAGAGGAAAGAGGAGAAGAUUUAGCAGAGUGUUGGGAUGUGAAGGGAAAAUCGAUUAGAAAAUGUCUUGCCGAAAAAAAAGUGUACGACAUUUUCCCAAAAAAAGGCAUCAUUUUCUUGUGUUUUGAAAAAACUUUUAUGGUGGGAAUUUAUUUUUCGCCAAACAAACGGUGGAAAAGAUUGAAAAUAUUUUCUUGAAAAAUUUUUACAAGCAAAUAAACGAAGUCUAAUUUUAAAAUUUGAUAAUGCUUAAGUGCUUAAGAUUUUUAUAUAUGCAAAUUAA
rnacentral:lncRNA from 1 species